GCAAACACAGAGUGAAAACAGAAAACCAUCAUCCUAUCAGGUUCCUCGUCUUAAAGAGAAAUGAUUCCUCUGAUAAACCAGCACAUGUGAUGAAAGAAGGCGGGACCGUCUCCUCUGAUUGGUUCAGGGAUCAUGGAGAGUAAAUACGCCCAGGGGAGAAUAAAUGACUCAUCCUGGAAACGGUGUGUGUGUGGUGUUGUGGAGACCAGACAUACGGGCCCACCGCGACACACACACAGGGCACUGGCACAGCAAUAAUGAGCAGAUGGGGUUCAUACGUGCAGCGCACGGCCAUCAGACAACAUGAAUUGUGACAGGUUUUGUAAGGGAAAUGCUGAUUUACUGUAUAUUAUCAGCUUCAUGUUGCUGCACUGUAAACUUAUUUGUAAAUA
rnacentral:lncRNA from 1 species